AGUUAUACAACUCAUCAACCCUGUGAACAUACCAUAACGUUGCCUCGGCGGGAACAGACGGCCCCGUAACACGGGCCGCCCCCGCCAGAGGACCCCCUAACUCUGUUUCUAUAAUGUUUCUUCUGAGUAAACAAGCAAAUAAAUUAAAACUUUCAACAACGGAUUUCUUGGCUCUGGCAUCGAUGAAGAACGCAGCGAAAUGCGAUAAGUAAUGUGAAUUGCAGAAUUCAGUGAAUCAUCGAAUCUUUGAACGCACAUUGCGCCCGCCAGUAUUCUGGCGGGCAUGCCUGUUCGAGCGUCAUUACAACCCUCAGGCCCCCGGGCCUGGCGUUGGGGAUCGGCGGAAGCCCCCUGCGGGCACAACGCCGUCCCCCAAAUACAGUGGCGGUCCCGCCGCAGCUUCCAUUGCGUAGUAGCUAACACCUCGCUACUGGAGAGCGGCGCGGCCACGCCGUAAAACACCCAACUUCUGAAUGUGACCUCGAAUCAGGUA
rnacentral:rRNA from 1 species